UAGGGAAUCUUCCGCAAUGGACGCAAGUCUGACGGAGCAACGCCGCGUGAGUGAAGAAGGAUUUCGGUUCGUAAAGCUCUGUUGUUAAGGAAGAACGAGUGUGAGAAUGGAAAGUUCAUGCUGUGACGGUACUUAACCAGAAAGGGACGGCUAACUACGUGCCAGCAGCCGCGGUAAUACGUAGGUCCCGAGCGUUGUCCGGAUUUAUUGGGCGUAAAGCGAGCGCAGGCGGUUAGAAAAGUCUGAAGUGAAAGGCAGUGGCUCAACCAUUGUAGGCUUUGGAAACUGUUUAACUUGAGUGCAGAAGGGGAGAGUGGAAUUCCAUGUGUAGCGGUGAAAUGCGUAGAUAUAUGGAGGAACACCGGUGGCGAAAGCGGCUCUCUGGUCUGUAACUGACGCUGAGGCUCGAAAGCGUGGGGAGCGAACAGG
rnacentral:rRNA from 1 species